UACGAAGGGGGCUAGCGUUGCUCAGAAUCACUGGGCGUAAAGCGCACGUAGGCGGAUUGCUAAGUCAGGGGUGAAAUCCUGGAGCUCAACUCCAGAACUGCCUUUGAUACUGGGUAUCUCGAGUCUGGAAGAGGUGAGUGGAAUUCCGAGUGUAGAGGUGAAAUUCGUAGAUAUUCGGAGGAACACCAGUGGCGAAGGCGGCUCACUGGUCCGGUACUGACGCUGAGGUGCGAAAAGCGUGGGGAGCAAACAGG
rnacentral:rRNA from 1 species